GCCAGCAGCCAUAUCACCUUGCCACUGACAACUGGCGACCCACUGGAGCUUAGCAGUAUGAGCCUGGCCAGUACCUGGAUGGGAGACCUCCUGGGAAAGCUAAGGUUGCUGCUGGAA
rnacentral:rRNA from 1 species